CACAGAGCCUAGUUGGGUGCACAGCCCUCCCUGACGCGCGAGGAGCAGGUUCACGGGAGUCGGUCGCGCAUCCCCAGCGCCCUGCGGGCCUCGCACCGGCUGUGGCGGUGACCCCGUGGGGCAUUGGCCAGGCGCGGUCCACUGCACUCCAACCUGGGCAACAGAGUGAGACUGCAUAUCAAAAAAAAAAAUAGUGGAGCAUUUACAUUCAGUCAUCAUGAGAUGGAUACUAAUAUUCCAAGAAUUCUUCCAUCUCUAUGAGAACAAGCCCAUUUUAACUUUCUGGAGGAUAAAAUAGCAUGCUGAGGAAAGCCAAAGUGCGCCAGUUUACAGACAGCUCACUCCCAGAAGCAGAGCCACCUAAUUCACCAGCAUCUGACCACUCACACCUGAAGGAGCCAAACUAAGCCCAGAAGAAUGGCCCAGCUAAGCCCAGCCUAAAUUUCUAACCAGCUCAAUCCUGAGCUAGUAUGUUUCGGGAUUGUUUGUUAUGCAGUUAUAGCUUAGUAAUAUAUACACCCAUUAAAGACAGGAUUCCAGGACAGAUUGAUUACAAAUAACCUGCAAAUGCUUGGCACCUUGUAAGUAUUGAUUUUGUGGUUCCUUUAUUUCAAGUUAAAUUUGUUGUAAGAUGGUAUUGACUUAUAUAGAAGUGAGGCAAGAGAAUAGAGUCUGGAGGCAGGGAACUUAAGGCCAAUUCGUGCUGAAUUCCUAAAGAAGAAACACCAAGGUCUGGGA